rnacentral:rRNA from 1 species
UACGUAGGUGGCAAGCGUUGUCCGGAUUUACUGGGCGUAAAGGGCGUGCAGGCGGUUUGUCUAGUCUAGGGUGAAAGCUCCCGGCUUAACUGGGAGAGGUCCUUGGAUACUGGCAAACUUGAGGGAGGCAGAGGAAAGUGGAAUUCCCGGUGUAGUGGUGAUAUGCGUAGAUAUCGGGAGGAACACCAGUGGCGAAGGCGGCUUUCUGGGCCUUACCUGACGCUGAGACGCGAAAGCGUGGGGAGCGAACAAG